rnacentral:rRNA from 1 species
GACGAACGCUGGCGGCGUGCUUAACACAUGCAAGUCGAACGGUAAGGCCCUUCGGGGUACACGAGUGGCGAACGGGUGAGUAACACGUGGGUGAUCUGCCCUGCACUUCGGGAUAAGCCUGGGAAACUGGGUCUAAUACCGGAUAGGACCACUGCCUGCAUGGGUGGGGGUGGAAAGCUUUUGCGGGGUGGGAUGGGCCCGCGGCCGAUCAGCUUGUUGGUUGGGUGAUGGCCUAGCAAGGCGACGACGGGUAGCCGGCCUGAGAGGGUGACCGGCCACACUGGGACUGAGAUACGGCCCAGACUCCUACGGGAGGCAGCAGUGGGGAAUAUUGCACAAUGGGCGCAAGCCUGAUGCAGCGACGCCGCGUGAGGGAUGACGGCCUUCGGGUUGUAAACCUCUUUCAGCACCGACGAAGCGCAAGUGACGGUAGGUGCAGAAGAAGGACCGGCCAACUACGUGCCAGCAGCCGCCGUAA